rnacentral:tRNA from 1 species
AUCGAUUUACGCAGUUGGUAGAGCACAAGGCUCUUAACCUUGUGGUCGUGGGUUCGAGCCCCACGGUGGGCG